GAGAAGGGAAAAGGAGAAGAAGAAGAAGAAGGAGAAGAGCAAAGGAAGAGGAAGAAGAGAGGUGCAAGGGGGGCACCUACCCAUCUAAGGAGUAGAACCAAGAGGUGACAAGACAAUGCAGCGCAAGGCCAUCGGCUGUCCAUCAUCACCUAAGACUCAAGAUGUUGAUUCAGGUAACCACCUGGAAUAUGUAGCUGAGGAGCCGGCUCUCUACGGAGGUGACAUCUGGGAUGAGGAGUUAGCUGCCCAUCAGGACGGUUGCGUAUGUGACCAUUGUGUAUUCAGAGCGUGCUGAAGAUGAGAGUAUCAUCUUCCUUUUGACCCUUUUGUUUUACACAUCAGAAGUAGCCCUAGCGGCAUAACCGUAAUUAUGACUUCCGUUGUAAAAACUCUUUUAGUAAAUAUGAUCAAUAUCAUUAGGCUUCACCAGUUAUGUAUACUUGACUAUUAUUAUUAUCUUGUA